rnacentral:rRNA from 1 species
UACAGAGGUGGCAAGCGUUGUUCGGAAUUACUGGGCGUAAAGGGCGCGUAGGCGGUUCGUUAAGUCCUGUGUGAAAUCCCCCGGCUCAACUGGGGAACUGCACAGGAAACUAGCGGGCUUGAGUUCGGGAGAGGGAAGCGGAAUUCCGGGUGUAGCGGUGAAAUGCGUAGAUAUCCGGAGGAACACCGGUGGCGAAGGCGGCUUCCUAGACCGACACUGACGCUGAGGCGCGAAAGCUAGGGGAGCAAACGGG